rnacentral:rRNA from 1 species
CCUACGGGUGGCAGCAGUGGGGAAUAUUGCACAAUGGGGGAAACCCUGAUGCAGCGACGCCGCGUGAGUGAGGAAGUAUUUCGGUAUGUAAAGCUCUAUCAGCAGGGAAGAAAAUGACGGUACUUGUCUCAGAAGCCCCGGCUAACUACGUGCCAGCAGCCGCGGUAAUACGUAGGGGGCAAGCGUUAUCCGGAUUUACUGGGUGUAAAGGGAGCGUAGACGGCUAAUCAAGUCAGAAGUGAAAUCCCAGGGCUCAACCUUGGGACUGCUUUUGAUACUGAGUGGCUAGAGUGCAGGAGAGGUAAGCAGAAUUCCAGGUGUAGCGGUGAAAUGCGUAGAGAUUAGGAGGAACACCAGUGGCGAAGGCGGCUUACUGGACUGUGACUGACGUUGAGGCGCGAAAGCGUGGGGAGCAAACAGGAUUAGAUACCCUGGUAGUC